CCUGAGCUCCUCCCACAGCAACAUCCAUCCAUGGCAACCAUAGCAACCGUGGCCAUGCUCAACGCGAAAUGCCCUGCUCCAAACCAUCUUCCCUCCUCAAAGUCAGCACCAACGAAGCCAGUCUCGCUCCUCUCACUCCAAAACCUUCCCAAGGGAGUCCAUCUUUCCAAACCAAUCAACACCAGCAGCCCUUCUUCCUUGAGCGCGGCCGCCAUCGCCGGGGCCUUCUUCGCCAGCCU
rnacentral:lncRNA from 1 species